GCUGAAGCUGGGAGCAUGAGGCAGGCAAGCAGAGAGGGGCUGCUGGAUUGUAAUCCUGUUUGUGUUUCUUUGCAGGUACACAGAGAAUGAGCGGACAACCCAAAAGAGCAACCAUACUUGAACCUGAUACAGAAGCUUAUGCAAAGGGGUGAAGGUAUUUGAUGAGGAGAACUAUGUGGUCAGAGUGGUGGUGAAGAUUGCUUUGCCAGCAGGAUUUUGGAUGGGCUGGCAUGGAGUGAAUUAAGAAGCUAAAGGCAAGAAGGAUGCAGAUUUCAGUAGCUGAGGUGGGAACUGACCGAGACACAGGUGGGGGAAAAGAGUGAUAUUCACAUUGCAAUUCAGUCAAGAAGAACUGCAAAACAAUCAAUGAUGUGAUCCAUGGCCAGAAAGGGUUAAGCAUCCUGCAAGAUAAAUGACCUGAAUUCAACCUCUAGGAACAUAUUGGUAGAAAAUGUUUGUGUUUUGUGUGUUUACAUAUAUAUUGUUAGAGGUUAACAAUGUAACAAAACUGUUCCUGUCUAUGCUGUAUUCUGUUAAUUCAUAUAUCAAAGAGAUCUUAACAUUCAAAUGAACUGUAAAUAUAGUGAUAUCACUGUAUUGAUCUCUCUUUGAAAUGUAUAGCAAAUCACCUGCGAACGGUGGAAAACAGGCAAUUGCCUUAUGUUAAUCCUUGUAGCUAAUUACUGAUGAUGCUUAGGAAAUAAGCCUACUUCAAAGUCUCAGUGAUUGCUUAUUGCUCACCUAAGAACUCCGAGCUGUCAAGAGAAGGCCUAGAACUAUAUAAAAAAAAACUUUUGGGGCAUGAUCCUUUUUAUUUCAGAUUUGCUUGAUGCUUUACACAGGGGAAGCUUGAGUCCUACGACUGAGAUCUCCAGUCCAACCAGGAUCACCCUGAAUAUGAACGUUGGACUAUAUCCUAUGGACAAAUUCUGAAAGAGCUCUGCAACUACAAAGCUCACCAUCUGUACUAUAAAACUGAUCUCAGAACUGUACUCAUGUCUCUAUGCAUCUUUUAACCAAUACACACUCUCUUUUCUAAUACAUUUUAGUUUAGGUAAUAAGAAUUGGCUGUAGGCAUGUAUAUGGGUAAGAUCUGAAAUAUUCAUUACCUUGGGAGAUAAUGUGUCCAAUCCUUUGGGACUGGUAUAACUUUCUUCUAUGAUGAAUAAGAUUUUCAGUAAUCCUCAUCAUAUUUGACUUGGUUAUCUGCGUGGAAGCCCAAGGCUGGGUUGCUUUAAGGGAACUGUGUUGGCUUCUGGGUAACCAGUAAGGUAUUACAAAAGCUGUUUUCAAAAUCUAAGUAUUGGAAUAUGCACCAGCUUUGGGGAUUGUCUAUCCCAUUCUUUACAGAUUGCCCUAAUUGAAUAACCUCAGUGUG